rnacentral:lncRNA from 1 species
GCACUCGAAUGCCCUAGCACUCCCUCACAUGCACUCGCAUCCCCUUGCAUGUCCUUGCACCCUCUUGCAUACACUUGCAUGUCCUCACAUAUUCCCACGCUCUCAUAUUCCCACACACACCCUCAUACACCCUCACACGAAUGUCCUCGUACACUCUCGCAAUUCUUUGCACUACCUCACACGCUCUUGCAUGCUCUCACAUCCCCUCACACAUACUCACAUACCAUCAUGCAUGCUGUCGCAUGUCAUCACACACUCUGCCAUGCCCUCACAUGCACUCGCACACCCUAGCAUGCCCUUGCAUGCCCUUGCAUCCCCUGGCACCCUCUCACACAUGCUCACAUGCCCUCACGUGCUCUCACAUGGCCUCACACUCUCUCACAUAUCCUCUCAUGCCCUUGCAUGCCCUCACACAGCCUCACACACCCACAGAUGUCCUCACACAUCCUCGCAAGCCCUCACAUGCCCUUGCCUCUCCAUGCAUGUCCUUGCACCCUCUCACACAUGCUUGCAUGCUCUCAGACACUCUCACAUGGCCUUGCACUCCCUCGAAUGUCCUCAUACACUCUGGCAAUUCUUUGCAUGCCCUCACAUGCUCUUGCAUACUCUCACAUCCCCUUGCACAUACUUACAUACCAUCACACCCACUUGCACUGUCUCACGUGCCCUCACACGCCCUCCCACACUCUCACAGGCCCUCACAUGCUCUUGCACGACUUGCACAUGCUUGCAGUCCUUGCACACUCUCACAUGACCUUGCAUGUCCUUACACUCCCUAACAUGCCCUAGCCUGCCCUUGCCCACUCUUGCACAUCAUCACACAGCUUCUCAUGCCCUUGCACAUUGUUGCUCAACCUCGCAUGUACUCACACACCUUCACACGCCCUUGCAUACCCUUACAUGGCUUAACAUGCCCUCGGAGGCUCUCACAGUGCCUCACAUGCUCUUGUACUCCCUCUAUGUUCUUGCAUGUCCUUACAUGCCCUUGCACAUCUUUGCACACUCUUGCACAUCCUCGCACAUUCUCUCAUGCCCUUGCCUGCUUUCCCAUACCAUC